GAAAUUAUCAUAGGAACUUGAUGGAUGAUUUCAAACACAAAAUAACAGGUUCAUAACUUCAUAUCAUAAUAACAUUCCCACUCAGACAUACACAGCAACUGAAACAAAGAAAACACAAGCUAGCAUAACUCCUUAAACUUUAUUUAUUUAGGUAUCCAAAUUCCAGCAUAAUACUUCACUCUUCAUCCCCAGUUAGACAUCCAAGCAUCCAGACGCCUUUGCCUUCUUUCAGUCUGUGACCUAAUAUAACACCAAAAAAGACACUCUCCAUAUAAGUUUUGAGUUGAAAUAUAAUUUUAAUCAAGGAGUUUCCAUAUGCAUAAAAUCAUUCAGUUACAAAUACAGUAAUAGCAAGAGGAUCAUCUGUUUGAACUUUGAACCCAUUGAAUUCAGAAAGCUUUUUUUUAUAAUGAAAAUUUUAUUAAGAAGAAAAAGAAUUACAACCAAAAACAAAUAAUCCAUGUUACCUUCUUGUCCAUAAAUUCUUUCUUGACCUCUUUUUUCAUCUGAGUGCCGAAGAUUUUCAAAGCUUCCUCCUGCGCAAAGAAUAUCAAGAAAAUGUUAAAAAAUGUGAAAUAUAUAUAUAUAUAUAUAUAUAUAUAUAUAUAUACACAUAUAUAUACAACACAAAUAGAAUGAAUUGAGUCAAUAGAGUAAGAAGAGAAAAAACUCAAACCCUGGCUAACUUCAGAUCCUUAGCAGACAUGGUUUUAGGUCCAUAUUCAUCAAAGGAAGGCUGCUUUUCAAAUACGCGUGAGAGAGGAGGACGAGGAGGCAAUGAUGCUGAUGGGUUCACCAUCUUUCCCUUCUUCUCAGUCUGAUUACUCAUUUUCACUAUAAGAGAAACAACACCCACACCCCUCUUAUAUAUACUAUUAUACUGUACUAAUU
rnacentral:lncRNA from 1 species